UACGUAGGGGGGCUAGCGUUGUCCGGAAUCAUUGGGCGUAAAGCGCGUGUAGGCGGUCCGGUAAGUCCGCUGUGAAAGUCGAGGGGCUCAACCCUCGAAUGCCGGUGGAUACUGUCGGGCUUGAGUACGGGAGAGGCGAGUGGAAUUCCUGGUGUAGCGGUGAAAAUGCGCAGAUAUCAGGAGGAACACCGAUUGCGAAGGCAGCUCGCUGGAACGUUACUGACGCUGAGACGCGAAAGCGUGGGGAGCAAACAGG
rnacentral:rRNA from 1 species